ensembl:ncRNA ZK270.4 ncRNA
AUCAUCGUCAUCGUGUGUGUAUAUUUGCUCUCUUCUGUUUUGAGGCUAUUCGGACAUCCAGGUUCUUCCUGUCUUGAUCGUCUAGCUUUUUUGUAGUUUGUAGUU